UACGUAGGUGGCAAGCGUUGUCCGGAAUUAUUGGGCGUAAAGCGCGCGCAGGUGGUUUCUUAAGUCUGAUGUGAAAGCCCACGGCUCAACCGUGGAGGGUCAUUGGAAACUGGGGAACUUGAGUGCAGGAGAGAAGAGUGGAAUUCCACGUGUAGCGGUGAAAUGCGUAGAUAUUGGGAAGAACACCGGUGGCGAAGGCGGCUCUCUGGACCGAUACUGACGCUGAGGCGCGAAAGCGUGGGGAGCAAACAGG
rnacentral:rRNA from 1 species